AGGACGAACGCUGGCGGCGUGCCUAACACAUGCAAGUGGAGCGACGAACCAGGCUUCGGCCUGGGGCAAAGCCGCGAACGGGUGAGUAACACGUGGGUAACCUGCCCCGAUGAUUGGGACAACCCGAGGAAACUCGGGCUAAUACCGAAUGUGCCCUACGGCCAUAAGGCCGCUGGGGAAAGGAAGCUUCGGCCUCCGCAUCGGGAUGGGCCCGCGGCCCAUUAGCUUGUUGGUGAGGUAACGGCUCACCAAGGCGACGAUGGGUAGCUGGUCUGAGAGGACGAUCAGCCACACUGGGACUGAGACACGGCCCAGACUCCUACGGGAGGCAGCAGUGGGGAAUCUUGCGCAAUGCGCGAAAGCGUGACGCAGCAACGCCGCGUGGGGGAAGAAGGCCCUCGGGUUGUAAACCCCUUUCAGUUGGGACGAAGCUUCGCCGGUGAAUAGCCGGUUGGAGUGACGGUACCUUCAGAAGAAGCCCCGGCUAACUACGUGCCAGCAGCCGC
rnacentral:rRNA from 1 species